GACGUAGGGCGCGAGCGUUGUCCGGAUUUAUUGGGCGUAAAGAGCUCGUAGGCGGCUUGUCGCGUCGUCCGUGAAACCUGGGGCUCAACUCCAGGCUUGCGGUCGAUACGGGCAGGCUCGAGUUCGGUAGGGGAGACUGGAAUUCCUGGUGUAGCGGUGAAAUGCGCAGAUAUCAGGAGGAACACCGGUGGCGAAGGCGGGUCUCUGGGAC
rnacentral:rRNA from 1 species